rnacentral:tRNA from 1 species
GGCUCGGUAGUUUAGUUGAUGAAGCGCUCUAGCAUACAAGUCUAGCAUACAAGAGUCCUGGGUUCGAAUCCCAGCCGAGCAC